rnacentral:lncRNA from 1 species
AGGCUGAGCAAGGACGACAUUGAGAAGAUGGUCCAGGACGCAGAGAAGUACAAGUCUGAGGACGAGGAGCACAAGAAGAAGGUUGACGCCAAGAACUCCCUGGAGAACUACGCCUACAACAUGAGGAACACCAUCCAGGACGAGAAGAUCGCCUCCAAGCUGCCCGCUGACGACAAGAAGAAGAUCGAGGACGCUGUCGACGCUGCGAUCCAGUGGCUUGACGCCAACCAGCUUGGUGAGGUUGACGAGUUCGAGGACAAGAU